GAAGCCGCCAUCUUGGGAGAGCUACGUGCGCCGCCGCCGCUCCCCGCCCGCCCAUUGGGGCUGCGGGCCCCGGGGCCGCCCCUACCGGGGACGGAUCCAUCCUCUCCCCGCCCCGGCGCGGCCCGGCCCUUCGCUACUGCUGUGCUGUGCUGCCUACCUGGGACGGGGUGGUCAUGACCACCUUCGGACUUCUGCCAAAGCCCGGCCCGGAUGCCAGAGCCAGGCCUUGGUUACAGCGGCCUGAACUACUGUGCAUCCCGAAGGGAGAAGUCGAGGGCCGCAGGACUUGAGGCGUUGUUUUCCAAGGCAGCUUUUUGCUUCGUUUCUGCCGAGACACAGCACUUUUUGUUGUUGUUGUUGUUCCUCUGAGCUCUAUACAGCAGUUUUGCGAAUGCUCAUUUAAGUGUUUUCUUACAUUUCUGACUAAGCAGCAUGUCUGAUGCACCAGUAAGGUGUAAAGCUUCUUUUCCCUCUCUAGCUGUUUAGAAAGAGACAUCUGUAUGUUUGCUACCUAUAUUCUUGUUAAGUAGUGACACAAACUGUGGAACACACCUCAGAAGCUGAGCCUGUGUGGCGCUGGCCCAUCCCUCUCUUGUGCCAGCACUCUCCAGAAGCUCAGUAUUUGAAUGCAUUUGCAGAUUCCUGUGUGAAGUUUGUUUCUUCUCCUUUAAGUAUCAUUCGGUCGUCUUGUUUGCUUAAUUAGGCUUCAGAGUUACUAAAUUAACCUUAGGUACCUUACUUUGAUAGGAUUAGAACCAAGAUACGUUUUUUUUCCUGCAUUUCCAAUGCCAGAAAACGCACACAAAAGGAAAAAAAUAAUGGUUAACAGUGAAGAUGACAUAAAUGCAGCAAUACUACUAUAAUGUGGAAAAAAACCAACAACUUUAUGUUCUCGCCAAGCUGCUCUUUUGUUUCUUGCAGAGCUGCAAGGGAAGGGAGGUAGGCUGCUUUUGUGGCUGCAGGGCUUUGUAAAAGUUCUCUAAUUUCCCUGGGGAUUUUUAAAUACUUGGCAGUUCAAGGUUGCCCACUUCUUACUUUUAUUCAUGAGAAUUACCGAGUUUCAGUUUUACUCAUGCGACUGGUUUUCACCCGCCAGAGACCCAGCUGUUGGUCAUGUGAACUGCACUUUCCAAAAAAAGUAGACUCUUGAUAGUCAUAGUGGUUUAUUUGCCAUUUCUAAAAAAAAAAAAAAAAAAAAAAAUCAGUUUUUUUUUUUUAAGUAUCUUGUAAGCUAUGUAUUUUUGAAAUACUUCUGCACAUUUGAAUGCUUGCUCUUAGCAUUACAAUUUUCUUCAAGUGCACUGCCAAGAGAAAUUCCAGAUUUCACAGCAGACACAUCUAUUUUCAACAAAAAGUUUAAUGAUAACAGAACCAUACACUGGCCUUGCAUAAAGUAUUUCACCAUCUUGGUAAAUUAAAAGUUGUUCAGAAACAUUGAUCAAUGAGAACUGUGAAAUACCUGCUGUAUUGCUUUGGGCCCUUAACACUCAUUUACAUAUAGAAAUAAAGCCUGCUGUGGAUGCUUGUUUGGAAAGCACACACAUUCGCAACUAUGGUUCUCUAUGCAUGGCUUUCGUCACACUGUAAUUCAGCCAAAGGGCACUGUGUGCUCAGGUCUGUGGUAGAGGAAACCCUGAAGGAAUCCAUAAUAUAGCUCAGUAAAUCAUCAGUUGUAUAAUUAUGCAAAAACACAUACCUAGGCAUGAGUAGAAUCAUAAUAUUUAAAACAUCUACCAUUUGUCAUGUAACUUAGUCUUAAAUGCAUUUUCUGGGCAAGGAACAGUGGUCACAUAAAUUACCCAGCUUAUAGUAUGGAAGGAGUAAGCAGGCUGUGGAAGUCUCAUGAUUUUCAUGAAUAUGAAUUAAUGAUAACUUCUUUAGUUGAACUAAGAUGAUGGUAUAGCUAAAGAAAGUGUCACUUGGCAUAGAAUUUCUUUACCUUGUGCUUUCAAGCACAUCAGGUGAGAUAUUCAAAAGGAGCACAAUCCCCUUUUAAAACUUACUACAAAACUGGGUAUAUCCCAAGUGUGAUAGAUGCAAGAAGAAGAGAAUAUUUUACAAAACUCACAAAAAUUUUGUUGUUACUUGAAACUAGUUAGGGAAGCACCUUCCUUUCUUAUGUCUCUGGAAUAAACCAACUAAUAGUAGCACUGAAAACUGUUGCCUGUUUUCACAGUUGUUGACAUAACCUCAGUACGGUUGCAAAAUAGUUAUAAAUGGUGUAAUCCAUUAUUUUAAUUGUAGGUGAGUACCAUUUAACUUGAAAAGUGAAAGGUGAUGUAAUUCUAACAGCAGGAAUAAAGCUGUGAAAAAAGGACAGAACCACGCAAAGUAGACUCAAAGCAGAAGAGAAGGCAGCGUUGUAAAGGAGAACUGACAUGUGAUGGCAGCUUGGAAAGAGGUUAAGACAGACUUCUUGAUGUGAUAGUCUGCUGGGAGUAGCACAAAGGAGCAAGAGAAAAGAAAUUCUCCAUUGCUGAAGAAUUAAAUAGUUACAUUGUCUAUUCCCAUUCUUGGAGUAAACUGGAAAAAUGUAGGUACAAAUUAUUUUCCUUCUGGGAAGGAGGAUAUUUCUUUAGUGUGAGCAGGUCUGAAAACAAGGCUUCAGUGUUGACUGACAGGAUUACCAAUAGUACUUGGUAGGCCAGGAACAUCUGAACAUUUACUGUUUUCCUGAGACCAUCUUCAAGUGACAAUAAUGCUAUUAAACCUGAUGAGUCAUCCAUAUGGAGCCAUAUUCCUUAUGUUUUAUUCUUCUGCAUUCUUUACAGAUACAUCAUGGGGUUGACCUUGUAAUGAACUUGCAUACCUACCGGAAGCUUUGUAGCCCCAUUAGCACCGUUCUUAUUCAGGCAGAGCAUUAUGCUCAUUAUUUUUAUUGUCACUUCCACAAACUUGCACACACUGCAAAAAAUUGUGUUACAGCAAGUAUACAUAUCUCUAAUCAAAUACAAACCUGGCAGAAAGCUUUUGCUUUCUGUACUUAACCUUAAAGUACUUGGAAAUUUUUUUUUUUCUCAUAGAGCUAUAAGUGCUUAAUUCAAGGAAGGAGUCAGAGACAGUGGCACCUUAAGGCCGAUGACUACAAGACAGUUCCUACCUGUUACCAAAUUUCUUGGUGUUCUUUACAGUGAUUACAGUUUUCACUGACUACAAACAAGGUUAGUUGUUUUACCAGUCUGGAUCUACGUUUUGAAAUCCUGCUGCAGAGACUGGAAACUGCAUACGUAUCUACUGAAAUGAUGAGUGAAUGCAGUAUUAUAAACAAAAAAAGAUCGGGAGGAGAUAGGGAUAACACUGGCAGGCUCACCAGCUAGAAGUUUAUACAAUUUUUGUAAAGUUCAACAGUGAGUACACUAAGUUGAGAGGCAGGUUCAGAGACAAAAAUAUUGUGAGGGGGUGGAUGCAACACACACAGAAGAAGGGGCACAGGCAAGAUUUAGAAAAAAAAAAAAAAAAAAAAAAAAAAAGGGCAACUCUGCUGACUAGCAGAGAAGCACAAAAGAACACAGAUUAUUUUCUAGUACUGAAAGGAGGGCAGUCCCAAACCUAAAUAACUAUUAGCUCACGUAAAAUGAAAUCAAUGACGUCAAUCAACCUAAUUGGCAUUUAGAUACCCUCUGAAAAAGGAGCAACCUGCAUUUGGAGGGCAAAGGAAUAUGUCCUCUUGGCUUAUACCAGAAGACAAAUGAAGACUAAGGAAGAAAGAAACAACAGCCAGCAAUGGAGGAGGGACAGACUGAAUGAACAGACCAAUUCUGCUUUCCAAGCAGGUUCUUUAGAAUGAUUACAAGACUGUUUCCAAGUUCAUCAGCAAGUCUAAUGUUCUACAUCUUUUGCUAAAGUCUAUGAAAGAUCUCAAUAGCAUAGUUUCUGUAUACUAUAAAUUAGCUUUCAUUGUCCACGAUCAACUGAUGUAAACUAAAUUUUAGCUUCUGUUCUCUUGUUGUUUAAGCUGCUUAUAGUUUAGCCUGGCAGUGUAGUUGUAGAGUUUUCUUAGGGUUGUUUGUUUGUUUGUUUGGGACUGUUUUCUUGAGGGGUAAGAAGGUGGAAUGGAAGAGAUCUGAGGAAUGUAGUCAUUAAAUGUUUCAAGUGUUCAGCUGCACUGUUUAAAAGCAAUUCUGUAUCUUUGUAUUUGAAUUCUAUUGCAUUUCAAGUAGGAUCAAAUGACCUCAAAAGUCUACGUGACAACAUAAUUGAAAGAGGAACUCAGUGUCUUUUAUGCCUCACAUUUGAAUGUUCUGUUAUUUUAAGACAUUGCCUAUUCUAUACUCUUUGAUGUGAGCUGCCAGAAGGUUUGGUUCUGAUCAGAAUCACAGUUCGACAACCUUCAGUUAAAGGUCUCAUUCACUUCCUAAUUUCUCAGCAUUUGCUUAGGUGUAGCACAGACAGAAAAUGCAAGGCUAUUUGCAAAACAGCCAAUCUAAACAAUAUUAUGUGAAUACUGGGCAUUAGACAGACAAUUACUGAAAAAGCAUCACGUCCAACUCCUGCUUCAUUCUUUGCAGUACAGAUGCAAUAUCUACCUGCUGUUCAGGUUCUCAGAAUUGUUUUUGGGAACCUGACAUUUCUUUUAAAGCUUUUGCUUGCAUACAUUUCUUCACCGUAGGGAACUUUCUGCUAUUCAAAAAGCUGUCUCCAGCUGGAUCAGAUGCUGUUUGCCUUAGCAUUUUAAUCCUAAUUGUCUAAGUAAUUGUUUGAAUAAAGUAUAGUUCUUACUACAUAAGAAACAGUCUCACAGUUAUACUGGUGACUCUUUCAGAAGUCUAUAAUGACACGACUAGCGUCAUCUCAGAAUUGUAAUAUAGAAGUUAGUCAUCAGCUUCUUAGCUUCUGGCCAUUAAUGUUCUGUGGAAAUAAUGCACACAAAUAGAUGGCUUCCAAUGCUGUUUGCACACUGCUGCUAUGGAGGGAAGCAGGAAACAGCACUUUUUAGAAAAGCCACUUUAAUUCUUAAAAUACUUUUGAAAGCAACCAAUCCAUAUCUUCGUCUGAAUGAUACACUAUUUCAAGUAUAAAACUGGCAACUGAACACUGAUUCUGCAAUAUGGUAAAUGAUCCCAUUCCUUCCUUUCAGGUGGGUCAGAAGUCACAAGAAUGUAUAUCCAUGUGUUGAAGAUAUUUCUGUUGCUCUUUGAAGGAUUUGCUAUUACUCCUAUUUGACCUAUGUCAGCAACUACUUAUUACAAAAAGGUUUAUUAAAUGGUUUCUCUAUUGAUGUUGGAACUCCUGAAUGUGUAUGACAGGUAAAUCAGUUUAGAUGAAGGGCCUUCAGGUCUGAAAAGUAGCUAAUCUUGUUAUCUUCUUGAGCACACAAUAUGGACAUUUUCAGAACAUAUUGCAAACAGAAUUUGUAUCCAUAACUUCUAGCUUUUUUUCCAGUGCUGAAGACCUGGUGAACUCAGCUUAUGAUUCUGUUAAGAAGAAUUUGUUUUCACCAUUAUAUUAUGUUUAUCUUUCCAGGCAUUUAUGUUCAUGUCACAAUCAGUUGGAGUUUGGGCCUGAAUUUUCACGUAACGUACUGCUUUAAACAUGGUUAAAGUGGUACUGAUUCUGUGAUAAAAUGUUACAGUGAUAUUGAACUUUGCCAGUUGUUCAAGGCCAAAAGGAAGAUAUCCAACAGAAUGGAGAACACAAAAUGAGUUAUAUCUAAUACAUUUAGAUGGAAAUCACCCACUUAAUAAGAUUGACAACUACUGAAUGAAAACUAAAUAAGAAGCAAAACAAUUCACCACGCAGUACAAAAAUCAGCUCUGUUUACUGCAUUUCUGUGUGUGUGCUGCAAAGUUGGGAUUGACAGGUCUUCUUUGCAUAAAACUAAAUGAAGAUCAUCCUGAUAAGUCUGAGAAAUCUGACUACGUGCAGCUCACAGAUGACGUGAGAGGUUCUUUAGUUAGGAAAUGUAUUUAAAAACCAAGAAAGAGGGUAAGGAUAGAGGAUAAAUAUUCUUGUAGUUCAAUGCAGUAUCUUAGGGAUGGUGAAGGGAAUUAGAAGUGAUCUUAAAACAUUUUCCUUUUUUUAGUGUAAGUGAUGUUUUACACCGAUUCCUAAAUGCCAAAUCCAUAAUCAACAACUUUUCUAAAACAGAUAAUCUGCUUAUGGGGUGCAUAGGGAGAAAAUGAGAAGAAGUAUAGGCUAGCUAUGAGUAAAGUAAAUAUUCUGGCUGUUGUAUUACAAUCCUAGGUGUUCAGAGCUAUUAGCCAGGCUGUAAGAAUCUUCACACUGGAAAUGAAAGUUGUUUACAUUUUUUUGUGCUUCUUGAACACUUAAGAAGCAGUCAAAGUUAUAAUUUUUGGCUUUUCUUUGCAAUCAUAAAGACUACAAACUCUUUUUAAAAGGUAUUUCUAUGUAUAUUUUAUAACUAGGCUGCACAAAUAUUUUAAGUUUUGAAUAAUUUGUAGGACUUGGCAAAAACCAUGAGGAAUCUCGUGAGCUUAUCAUACUUUCUUUCCACUGUGCAUCACUGCUAUUUGCAUCUUCUCUACAUGUGGAGAAGUUUAUUAGUGCUGUGCAUGCCGUCAUAGCUGAAGAUCUCACUGCUCACACCCUUGAGGCCGCCUUGCACAUUGGCUUCAUUCUUCAGGUCAUUUGUUUUGCUGCCUGCUCGUAACAGUUAUAACAAAGACUGUUGCAAGAAAUAAUACAAAAUGUAGAUAUUUAAUCAGGAAACCCAAACUCCUGAAAUGAAGCACUGCUGGUAAUACGUUAGGAAGAGGACAAUGCUAAGGAGUACAACAGGCACAACUUCUUUGAAUGACAGCAUUUCUCUCUGUUUUGUUAAAUUCAUACUCAGAAUAUUCUCUCCUAUAUAAUUCACACCACAGGUUGGUUGUAUAUCAAUUCCAAAUUGUUUUUCAUGUAGCACAAUAACUACCAGGUCCUUCCUUCACCAGAAAAACCUGUUCUGUGGGCACUCCUGUUCCUCAUAGUUACAUGCAGAGUCAGAGAGGCCAUUAUGAAGAAUCCUUUGCUGGCCGUAGUUUGUAUACAAAACAUGUCCUUGAUGAAAGAUUGGAUGCCUUGUACUAUUUCUAGGAUUUGUUUGGUUUAGCAAUGAGAUUACAUUUUUCUCCUUUAUAUUUUCAUAAGAUUUUCUUUUCUUUUUUAAAAUCACUACUUCUAGAAAAAAAAUUCCUUCUGAUUUUACUCCCUCUACAAGUAGGAAGACUUUCUGCAAGAUCACUGCAAGCUGUUUAGGAUUAAUUCAAGGCUCAUUAUACUGUUGUCUUCAACCCUUACUCAAAUGUUGCUAAUACUCCCUUUUAACACCAGAGCAUCUCAUCUAUCUAACUGAGCCAGUGAGACAGGGAGGUGUGAGGUGGAGCCCAGGUCUCUUUGUGGGGGUUCUUCUUUCACUUUACUAUGAGGAACAGUUGAUGCUUGUCUGUCCUCAUAAUUUAGAUCCAGUUUCCUGAGAGACAAGUAUCCACUGUCUAUUAUGAAAGAAUUGGAACAGCUUAUCCCACUGCCACUGACGUGAGGACUUCAGCAAUACACCUAAGGUCAUGGAGUUAAAGGCAUAAUCUGAGCUUUUGCAGUGGCUUACGCACGAGUAUUUCCAAAUCUUCCAUUCAGAUACAACUCUUCGUGUUAAAGACAAAUGGCCCUGGGAUACUCAGUUUCAUGAAACUACUUGUUGAAGAGCGUUAAAGGAUACCUCCUGCCUGCAGCCAGCCCGUGUAGCUGUUUAUCAUCUGCAAACAGUAGGGCCAAAAGGAAAAGCCUGCUGCAGAAACUUUUAUCUUGCCCUGCUACCCUGUCUUCCACCCUUUGCAAUCCCUCUAGGUUUGUGGAAAUGCUCUGUAAUCAGACAGCUAACCGAAGUAUCUCAAGAAAAAUUUGCACAAGCUUUGCUCCCCAUUUUCAAAGGUGAAGUCAUAGACCAAUCUAUCUGGGCAAGCUGGUGCUUCACUGGAAUGCAUGGCUUACAUGAACUUGAAGUGCAUGGAACUACAGGAUAUGUUCCACUUGAUAUUUUACAACUUCCUUUUUCAUUAGUUUGAUACUACUAUCCAAAAAAUUAUGUGGCAUUAUAACAGUUUAUCCUGUCUCAUGAGUCUCACAGGUCUCACAUACUUUUGUCAAAUCUCUUAAAUUUGCUUAUUCUUACUUGAUCUUGAUUGUCUUUAAAAAAGGACAUAAGCUCUUUAAUUUCGUGACUGGCAAUAAAACUUUGAAAACGUGAUCCAGUAACCAAGAAGCAAAACGAAAUAAAAAAGGAAAACACAACAGUAGUCUCAAACUGUAGACCACUUUCAUGAUUUUAACUCAUGAUUUUCAAAGUCCUUGUACUGUCCCUGCAUAGUAAUAGCAUAUCGUCGCUUGACGAAGGCAAAAGGGGCUACUCAGAAUACGCACUGGAAUGACAGCACUACAGUCUACUUUUCCUUUCUGUUUGUUUUUUUUUCUUGGUUGCCUGUGAAAGGUACUCUUCUUUUGGCAUAGGCUAUAUACCCCCAUGAUAAAAAUGUAUUGUAAGUUGUAAUGUGGUCUUUUCUAACUAUUAUGUAUGCAAAUAUAUUCAGAAUGUGCAAUGAAGAACUAACAUAUUCUUCUCUAUGAAACUAUUUAGAAUAGAAACUGGAAGAUUGGCUUAUUGUUUUUCCUAUUUUAAUUGACAAGCAUUUGAUUUGCAGUAGAUUUUCCAUGUCCUAGAGGGCUAAGGAAACGUCAGAUAUUUACAUACUUAUGCCUUUUAAAUUAAUUAUGGAGGAUGUUUUGGUAAAUAAUCACCAUCCCUGUAUCAGAAUGUCACUUUAAAGGUAAAUAACAGUCAAAAAUAAGUGGAUUAUUUUGCUUUUUUAUUGUCAUCUGCCUAUAUAAGAAUUUCAAUUAAUUUUUAGGAAUAUUUUCUAGGAUACUGAUAUCUCUAAACUAGUUUACUGCAGAAACUCAUACAAAAGACCACUGAUAAUAUGUAAGUCAGGGUUCAGUUCAAAACUUCAACGUUCCUUGAAUGCGUUCCAUAGUGUAAUCAUAAAAACAUAAAAACUUCUGUGUUAUAACUGAAUGUGCAUCUACUUAAAUCUAAAGGCUAAAAUUCACUAUAGCAAAAAGAAGCCUUAUUGAAGAUACAGCUCCUUGCUAUUUUACUAAAUGUAUGAGAUUUCAAAGUAAAAUGUCAUAGGGCCUGUCCAUAAAACAUGGAAUUACAAAACUUAA